rnacentral:lncRNA from 1 species
AUUCAGAAAGCUGAAUCUGGCUUUAAGGCAUUUUACAAAUAGGUUUUGGGCACUAAUUAGGAUGGAGAAAAAUACUACAAAGAGUAAACAGAGCAGAAAUUAGCUGUUAUGGAACAUUUAUAACCAAGAGGUGACAAUCGCAACUGUAUUUGAUUGAAUUCAACUUUUCAUCCAUUCACAAUAUCCAUCAUUUUCCAUGGUUAAUGAUUCUAGAGAAUGAAAUGUCUGAAAUGAGAAUGAGUUCUUCAAUCGUUUAAGUUGCUCCUGAGAUGAGAGUGUGUUCUGUGUUUGUUUCAUGGAUACCCAAUUAAUUGGAGAACAAGAUCAGAAAACCCAAAAAAUGAAGAAACUUCACCGUGCUUUUCCGAUGAAGAAAUUUUGCCACCACAAUAGUGGUGGCGAACUCUGCUCGGCAAACAAUAGCUCAUCCCUAUUCCUCGAACAAGACCCUGCCUCUCAUUUUUUUCUCAUUUUUUUUUGUUAAUUUGGUUUGAAGAGACAAAAUAUGCAAGGGAAAAAGAAA